GAAGAAGAUUGAGGGGCACCAAGGUGGGUCCUGCUGGACAUCGGGUGUCACCACGGUGGGACCUGGAACUGGUGGGGGCACCAGGAAGGUCCUGCUGGAGAUAGGGAGUCACCAAGGUGGGACCUGGUGGAGAUUUGGGGUCACCAAAGUGGGACCUGGAGAAGAUCUGGGGUCCCCAAGGUGGGUUGUGGAGGAUCUGAAGAAGAUUGAGGGGCACCAAGGUGGGACCUGGUGGAGAUUGGGGUCACCAAGGUGGGACCUGGAGGACCUGGAGAAGAUUGAGGGGCACCAAGGUGGGACCUGGAGGAGAUCUGGAACACCAUGGUGGGUCCAGGAGGAGAUCAGAGACACCAAGGUGGGCUGGGCAGGACCAGGUGGAGAUG
rnacentral:lncRNA from 1 species